GCCUUCGCCAUCGGUGUUCCUCCGCAUAUCUACGCAUUUCACUGCUACACGCGGAAUUCCAUCCCCCUCUGCCGCACUCUAGCCUUGCAGUCACAAUGGCAGUUCCCAGGUUGAGCCCGGGGAUUUCACCACUGUCUUACAAAACCGCCUGCGCACGCUUUACGCCCAGUAAUUCCGAUUAACGCUUGCACCCUACGUAUUACCGCGGCUGCUGGCACGUAGUUAGCCGGUGCUUAUUCUUACGGUACCGUCAUGACCCGGGGAUAUUAGCCCCAGGCUUUUCGUUCCGUACAAAAGCAGUUUACAACCCGAGGGCCUUCAUCCUGCACGCGGCAUUGCUGGAUCAGGCUUUCGCCCAUUGUCCAAAAUUCCCCACUGCUGCCUCCCGUAGGAGUCUGGGCCGUGUCUCAGUCCCAGUGUGGCUGGUCGUCCUCUCAGACCAGCUACAGAUCGCAGGCUUGGUAAGCCUUUACCCCACCAACUACCUAAUCUGCCAUCAGCCGCUCUAGUAGCACAAGGCCCGAAGGUCCCCUGCUUUCAUCCGUAGAUCUCAUGCGGUAUUAGCUACUCUUUCGAGUAGUUAUCCCCCACUACUAGGCACGUUCCGAUGUAUUACUCACCCGUUCGCCACUCGUCAGCAUCCGAAGACCUGUUACCGUUCGACUUGCAUGUGUAAAGCAUGCCGCCAGCGUUCAAU
rnacentral:rRNA from 1 species